rnacentral:tRNA from 1 species
GAGCCCCUAGCUCAGUCGGUUAGAGCAUCUGACUUUUAAUCAGAGGGUCCUGGGUUCGAGUCCCAGGGGGCUCACCA